rnacentral:rRNA from 1 species
GCGGCUGGAUCACCUCCUUUCAAGAGCGUGCAUCUAAAGUCGAGCGUUCACACUUAUCGG